UCUUGUGUGAUCAUUUCUUUCUUCGUUUCAUCCCACUUUACACGUUUUUAUGUGAAAAAAAAAACGAAAUUUGCAAAUAAUUUGAUUUUCUUUUAAUUUUGAAGACACUUUGAAAGUGGCGGCAGCAAAGUAAGCAUGGCUAAGCUCUUCCUCCUCCGAUUUGGGAACUAACCAAAAGAUCAGUUUCUAGGGUUCUUCGUUCCGUCGAAUUAGGGACAUUUUCUCUAUGCAGGAAUGGAUAGCAGUAACUCGGAACAGGCCGUGCUUGAUGGCAAACUCUACAGACACCUCAAUUCUCUCAUCGUCGCGCAUCUUCGGGACAACAAUCUCACCCAGGCUGCAAGUGUUGUUGCUUCAGCAACCAUGACUCCACUGAAUGCGGAAGCCCCACCUAACAGGCUUCUCGACCUGGUUGCUAAGGGUCUUGCAGCGGAAAAGGGCGACAUCACAAGAGGCACUGAUUUCUCUGCCUCACUGCCCCUGUCUCACACAGCAGCUAUUGAUUUCAGCACUGCGCCUGAUAUGAAAGGUUCCUCAAAGAGCUUCCCGAAGCAUGAAACGCGGCACCUUUCGGAACACAAGAAUAUUGCCAGAUGUGCUAGGUUUAGUGCUGAUGGAAGGUUUGUUGCCACUGGAAGUGCUGAUACUUCAAUAAAGCUAUUUGAGGUUUCAAAGAUCAAGCAGAUGUUGCUGCCAGAGGCAAAGGAUGGUCCUGUGCGGCCUGUCAUUCGCACAUAUUAUGAUCAUAUACAACCAAUAAAUGAUCUGGAUUUUCAUCCACAAGGUACUAUCCUGAUUUCUGGAGCCAAAGAUCAAACAAUAAAGUUUUUUGAUAUUUCAAAAACGAAUGCAAAGAGAGCAUAUAGAGUUAUCCAGGACACACACAAUGUUCGAUCUGUAUCUUUCCAUCCUUCUGGGGACUUUUUACUGGCAGGAACUGAUCAUGCAAUUCCACAUUUGUAUGAUAUAAAUACCUUUCAGUGUUAUCUGUCAUCAAAUAUCCCAGAGACCAGCCCUAGUGGAGCCAUAAACCAGGUCAGAUAUUCUUGUACAGGUGCCAUGUAUGUUACAGCAUCUAAAGAUGGUGCUAUUAGGUUAUGGGAUGGCAUCACAGCCAAUUGUGUGCGGUCAAUAACUGCAGCACACGGAACAGCUGAGGCUACCAGUGCAAUUUUUACCAAAGAUCAAAGGUUUGUUCUCUCCUGCGGGAAGGAUUCUACCGUAAAGCUUUGGGAAGUUGGCUCUGGAAGAUUAGUCAGACAAUAUCUUGGAGCUAUACAUACCCAGCUAAGGUGUCAGGUAAUUAUUGUUUUGUUGGGUACAUUUGGAAGAACAGUUUAUCACAGCAGGACCUCUAUCCAAAACCUCUAGUCACCUAGCCGUUAGUCCAGGUGAUAUUUUUAUCCACAUUCUGAUAGUUACCUUUGUGUGCACUCUCUGCUGCAGGCUAUUUUUAAUCAGACAGAAGAAUUUAUUAUAUUCAUAGAUGAACUGAGCAAUGAGAUCGUUAUCUGGGAUGCAAUGACAACAGAAAAAGUUGCAAAGUGGCCUUCUAAUCAUGUUGGUGCACCCCGCUGGCUUGAACACUCACCAGUUGAGUCAGCUUUUAUUUCCUGUGGAACUGAUAGGUCAAUUCGGUUCUGGAAGGAGACUGUAUAAUAAAGGGGAGGAGGCUGAAUGCAUUUACAGGCACUAUUAAAGUUAUCAUUGAUUAGAAGUUAACUCAUGGAAUUUCACUUUAUCAUUGUUUAAUUUUUGUUAUCACUAGCCUUGCCCUACAGAAUAGUUAAUGCUUUCAACACUUGGAAUCAUAAGAUUACCUGUCUCUACCUAUGCGAUCUUCUCAAAUUUUAGACCGACUCUAACUGUUUCAUAUUUUCAUCAAAGUACCUUAAAGUUGGUUUGGAUAAACCUUGACGGGUCAUUAUGUCUUGGAGCUGGGUAUACUCAUGGCCUUUCGCUUUAGGAUGUUAUAAGUCUGUAUAAUCCGCAUCCUAGACUGAUGUACCUUAUUUCUUUAUAAACAUUUGCCCCGUGAAA